UUAGCUACAAGCCUAAAAUUCUCCAGCCUUGUGUCUCUAUCAACCUCCCUGCAUGGCUGGCGGACAGCAAUUUAUGACCUUUAAAGGCCCAGUGCAGUCAAAAAAGGUAAUAUCCUGUGUUAUAUAGUGGGGGUGCAAGCUUGAACCGUCACUGUACAUACACUCACACACUCUCACAGUUACACACACACACACAUUAUAGAUAAUGUAUUAUAGAUUAUAGUAUUAUAGAUAAUGACCAACUUCUUGUAGCAGGCAUUAUAGACAAUGACCAACUUCUUGUAGCAGGUAUUAUAGACAAUGACCAACUUCUUGUAGCAGGCGUUAUAGACAAUGACCAACUUCUUGUAGCAGGCAUUAUAGACAAUGACCAACUUCUUGUAGCAGGCGUUAUAGACAAUGACCAACUUCUUGUAGCAGGUAUUAUAGACAAUGACCAACUUCUUGUAGCAGGCGUUAUAGACAAUGACCAACUUCUUGUAGCAGGCGUUAUAGACAAUGACCAACUUCUUGUAGCAGGCGUUAUAGACAAUGACCAACUUCUUGUAGCAGGCAUUAUAGACAAUGACCAACUUCUUGUAGCAGGCAUUAUAGACAAUGACCAACUUCUUGUAGCAGGCGUUAUAGACAAUGACCAACUUCUUGUAGCAGGCGUUAUAGACAAUGACCAACUUCUUGUAGCAGGUAUUAUAGACAAUGACCAACUUCUUGUAGCAGGUAUUAUAGACAAUGACCAACUUCUUGUAGCAGGUAUUAUAGACAAUGACCAACUUCUUGUAGCAGGCAUUAUAGACAAUGACCAACUUCUUGUAGCAGGCGUUAUAGACAAUGACCAACUUCUUGUAGCAGGCGUUAUAGACAAUGACCAACUUCUUGUAGCAGGUAUUAUAGACAAUGACCAACUUCUUGUAGCAGGCGUUAUAGACAAUGACCAACUUCUUGUAGCAGGCGUUAUAGACAAUGACCAACUUCUUGUAGCAGGUAUUAUAGACAAUGACCAACUUCUUGUAGCAGGUGUUAUAGACAAUGACCAACUUCUUGUAGCAGGCGUUAGACAAUGAACACAGCUCUCAAACAAUCUCUCAAGCCAAUGUGCUAGUGAGUAGCUAGCUUAUCUUUAAAUAUAAAGUCUACUUGGAUCUAUUCUGAAUAAAAAUAUAAAAAUGCAACAUGCAACAAUUUAAAAGAUUUUACUGAGUUACAUUUGAUAUAAGGAAAUCAGUAAAUUUAAAUAAAUUCAUUAGGCCUGAUUCUAUGAAUUUCACAUGACAGGGAAUACAGAUAUGCAUCUGUUGGUCACAGAUACCUUAGAAAAAAAGGUAGGGUGCGUGGAUCAGAAAAACAUUCAGUAUCUGGUGUGACCACCCGUUUCCAAUUGUAGAGCAACACAUCUCCUUUACAUAGAGUUGAUCAGGCUGUUGAUUGUGGCCUGUGGAAUGUUGUCCCACUCCUCUUCAAUGGCUGUGAGAAUUUGCUGGAUAUUGGCUGGAACUGGAACACGCUGUUGUACACGUUGAUCCAGAGCAUCCCAAACAUGCUCAAUGGGUGACAUGUCUGGUGAGUAUGCAGGCCAUGGAAGAAGUUUUCAGCUUCCAGGAACUGUGUACAGAUAUUUGUGACAUGGGGCCGUGCAUUAUCGUGCUGAAACAUGAGGUGAUAGUGGCAGAUGAAUGGCGCGCCAAUGGGCCUCAGGAUCUCGUCAAGGUUUCUCUGUCCAUUUAAAUUGCCAUCGAUAAAAUGCAAUUGUGUUCAUUGUCUGUAGCUUAUGCCUGCCCAUACCAUAACCCCACUGCCACCAUGGGGCACUGUUUUCACAACGUUGACAUCAGCAAACCACUCACCCACACGAAGCCAUUCACAUGGUCUACGGUUAUGUGGUCGAUUGGACAUACUGCCAAAUUCUCUGAAGUGACUUUGGACGUGGCUUAUUGUAGAGAAAUGAACAUUAAAUUCACUGGCAACAGGUCUGGUGGACAUUCCUGCAGUCAGCAUGCCAGUUGCACGCUCCCUCGAAACUUGAAUCUGUGGCAUUGUGUUGUGUGACAAAACUGCACAUUUUAGAGUGGCCUUUCAUUUUCCCAAGGUGCACCUGAGUAAUGAUCAUCAAGAUGCUUAUUUCACAGAAUGAGAACAAGUUGCCAAUUCCUGACAAAUUAGUCUUUGUAUGCACAUUGCAUAUUUCUAAAUCACAGACUAGACAUCUGGCACAUGACAGUCUGUGGCGAAAAUGCUGCUAGCGGUAGCGCAGUGCCGCGCGCGACAGAAACUGAGCCUUAAUCUUCCACAAUCAUGUUCAUUGAUACUCUUGUUUUUGUAGGGUCUGCUCUGUUCUACAUUUUGGGAGUUGAGAUAUAUAAAAAGGGUAUUUCUAGAAAGGUUGUGCUCUCAUCUAUUACAGUAAAAUAUUGUUUAAAUAUUGUCACACCUACCAUAUGACCGAUUCUGUAGGACCAAACCUUAAAUGC